CUGCUCAGGUUUUCUCUGUAGUGGUGCUUGUUAUGAAGGGAUUGUGGUGGCCUGUGGACACAUUUCUGAGGAAAUGCAGACCGUCAUUUGCCUGCUGCUGGAAAUGUGGGCAGAGCUGCGUAAGCGUGGUGAACGGGCUGUGUGAAGAGGUUUAAACAGGCCCGCACACCCAUCUGAGAUCUCCAAGAUGCGCCCUGGCUGGGGGGUCAGCCAGGGCCGCUGCGGACCUGGGAGACAGCCUGAGUUCUGCACAGAGCAGCCAGCUUUCUCAGCCACCUGCUCAGUUUGUCUCCAGGAACAGGAUGAGUGCCUGCUUCCUGUUCAAUCAAGUAGGAACUGAGAAAGAGACAACCUUUCCCAACGCGUCCGCUCCCUCCCUAGGAGCGAGUUAAGUGGACUCAGAAGGUUCCCCAACAGCAACAUGCGGUAGCCCUCAGCAUGCCGGCGCCUCAGGAGCUUAUGGGAUGGCUGCUGUACUCACAUGUUAAGCAGAUGUGUAGAGGGAGACAGUGAAGACGGAGAGUGGACACACCAACGUGAGAGGGGCCACUUCGUGACCAUCCCCUCCCAGUGCUCAGUCCCCAACGGCUCUGCACCGUCUGUCUGUUUCUAUGAGUCUGUGACGUGAGUGCAGAGUCCCGUCCCAUGGCCAGGAUCCCGCUGCUCCCUGCUCCCUGGAGACCCCCUCACCCCCGUGCUGGCGGUGUGUCCUUGGCUUCCUCCAGCUGCCGGUGGGUCCAGGGGCCUGGUCAGCUCUGCACGCAGCUGCUACUGGCGUUCGCCUCCCUGGGCACUCAGGUCUGAAACUCGACCCCGGCGAGGACCAGCCCUACCUCCCUGGAGGAAACGGCUGAACAGCCCAGCAACAGCAGAUGAAACUUCCUUCCCCCUCAUCCAGCUGCAGGCCCCCCCAGCCCGAGGACUCUCCUCCCUGUCUCCAGCUGCCCCAGCCCGGACAGCAGCCCCAGGGAGCCUGGGGGAGGAACGCGUCUUCCCACAUCCCAGGACUGGCUUCUUGGCAGGCCCGGACCUCGGGCACGCACAGCACUUGGCUGCCCGUCCUCUGCGCCUGCUGAAGGGCAGCCGUGGGACGCAGCCAGCUGCUUGCAGUCGCCCCGCUGCGCAGGACACGGAGGGGGAGGACAACCCCUGGGGUGUGGAUGUGAGGAGGGGUGGCAUGUGCAGGCCUUCCUUGGCCCCUGCCUGCAGGAAACCUGCAGGGCUCCCGCCCCUGCCACGCGGGCUGCCUAGCCCAGCUCCCGUCAUGAGUGAUGGCGCGAGCUGCGAGCUCUGGCCUCUCCUUGCUGCCCCCCAGGGCCUGUGGGGUGCCGACCCUCUGUCUUGGGAUGCCUUGGGCUGCUUGAUGCCACAGGCCAUCCAAGCUCACCCUGACUGUGAUGACAGGGCUGUGCUGCUGGGAGGUGGUGUCACCUGCCACAUGCUCCCAGAGAACUGCGGGGAGGACACAGGUACCAUGGCGCAGCCCAGGAGGGCGCGGCUCUACCGAUGCCACCCGCCCAUUCAGACCAGCAAGAGCUCCCUGGCCCCGCCUGCCACCCUGCCUCUCAAGGUAAGAAAGUGUGUGUGGCUGAAUCCCCCGCCAGGCGGGAGAAUGGGGUGGGUGCAGCUGUGCCCAGUGGGGCCCCAUUCCUCUUGCUCAGGUUUCCCUGCCACCUUUCCCCAGGCCUGGCUCCUUCCUCUGUGCUCGGCCACUGUCCCAGCCACUAGCAGCCUUUUGUUUGGAAGAAGAGCAUGAAUAUCUGUUUGCCAAGCCCCCUACCAAAGCCAAGAGAGGCCAGGCCAGGUGGCAUGCCUACUUGCUGCAGAGACCCAAGGGAAGGGGUGAGGAGGCACCUUAUGGCCCUGCAAAGUGCUGCCGCUCUGCUGGAGUUUUCAUAGCCCACGUAUUCUCGUGUCCUCACAGCAACCCUGAGAAAUAGAACUUCGUAGCCCCAGUUUCAGAUGAGAGUGAAGUGGCUAUGCAUAAACCCUCCUUCCAGAGGACAAGGGAAAUGCAAAACCUGUUUUCCAGAGUGAGCACUGGGGACUCUGGGGAGGCUCCCGUGAGCUUGUGGAGUUUCCAGAACUGGAGGGCAGCCAUCUCCUUACACACUUGACCUUCUGGGACUCCCGUCCACCUCCUAGCCCUCCUCCAAGUGGCCUCAGAGCCCUGGGCAUCAGCCUGCUGGCCUCAUUUCCCAUCAGGAAGAGAGGUUGCCCCGGGGUCUCCAGGUCUCUCCGGGCUCUGCGCCUGCUCCUGGCCACCCCUGCUCCUUGUCAUUAGCAUCCUACUCUCUGUGUCCUGACUCAGCCUCCUCAUUGUGCGUGCCUGAGCCAGCCUGCCCUCUUCCCCCAGCUCUGGCGGACAUGGUAAAAGGAUGCUUUCUUGCUGCCUUUUCCAACAGCAGGGGCAUCUUCCUAUUCUGCAUGUGUGUUCGUGACAGUGCUGAAGGUGAGGAUGAGGGUGCGUGAGACAGAGGAGGGGGCACUCUUGCAUGUGUGGGUCAGCAUGGAGGGGACUCUUGAGGAAGUCCCAGGGGAAACGGGUGGAAUUCACAUGGGAAGGGGGCCUUCCGUGGCUCAGAUGUGGUGCUGCUCAUCUGGAUUCUGUGGCUGUCCCCCACACACCCUCCACACCACCCUCCCUCCCUUUCUCCUUUCAACAGGGUGCCUGGGCAGCCGGAGUGAGGAACCAGGGAGAAGGGGAGCCCCAGUGCUCCUGGGAGGGGGACUCUUGGGAGAAGAGGGAUGCUAGCACGCUUCUUUGAGAAACAGUUUACAUUCCACCGUUGUUCUUGUAUCAUCAUUUCCUGUGGGGCUUAGGAGGAGCGACUCGCCGGUGCGUCAGGGCUCAGCCUCUGCGUCAGGGCUCAGCCUCUGCAUGGGGCUCACACAGUGGUUGUUUGUGUACUUCAAUGCUGCUCUGAUGUCUUGGAAACUUCAUGUUUCCCUGUGUCCCCUCCCACCUUCUGGGACAAGCCAAAGCUUCAGCGCUGUCCCCAUUUCCCUGGGGGUAGGCCCUCUGGGAGUUGGUCCAUGUGGGUAGAUUUCUACCUUGUCUGCCUCAUUGAGCCACUUUUGCUAAUGAGCCAGCAGGCAUCUGCCGCAUCUGAAGUACGGAUCACAGGGUUUCUGGCUCGAAACUUAGAAACCCCAGGUUCAUGUCCUAACCUUGAGCAAACCACCAGAGCUCCCAGUUUCCAUCCAGAGAACACUUGAUGACAUGCCCUGGCUCAUAGUUGCCAUGGAGAUUUGUACACUGAAGUGCUGUCCUGUGAAAGGGACCCGCAGUAGUAGCCCUGCCUUCAGGGGACAGAAGGAGAGCGACAACAUCAGGGGACACUGGGUAGGACCAGGGAAGCCAUGGAGCCAGAGCCAUGGAGCCGAGGUGGGGUGGGGUGGGGCCCGAGGGCCUGGCAGGGAAGCAGGGCUGCACAACCUCAUUCUUGACCCUGCUGACCAGGCGCCCGUGGCCCCUGCACCAGGAGCAGGAGCUGGAAAAUCUGUGCCCUCAGGUCACAGGCCCUUUAACCGCCUCAGCUGUUAGUAACCCGCCGGCCCUGCCCGGUCCUGGGUAUUAAAGGAGCAAGAUCAGCAGACAGGUCCCCAUCUGCCCCACCCUGAGCGGACUAAGUGUCCUUGGGCCUGAGUAGUGCAUGAGAAUCCCCUGGUUCUCUCCCAGCAAAGUGGCCAAAGGCUGGUUAAAAGUCUCUCCUUGCCAGCUGUGAGUGGUGACGUCCUUGGUUGGCCUUAGUGGGGCCUUUGACUGGAUAUACUCAGAUAAACAUGUGAUCGGUUAUAUUUAUUAAAGUGAAGCGUUCUUACAUGGAAGCAAAAUCCAUUCCUGCAUUUCCCAAAGAUUUGAGGCCCUCGUAUGAACUUUCCAAGCAGGAGAGUCUGGAUCUCAAGCACCAAGCUCUCCCUUGUGGUGCUCCCAGUGGCUGCGCUCACUCUCUCGUAGGGACACGAAUGGGCUCCAAGGGGGACUGCUGGCCUCCAUCUUGCAAGUGCCACGAGUGAGUGUGGUGACCCAUGUCAGUCGCUCGUAGUUCACGCUGUGACUUGGCUUUAGCAGACAUCCUGACGCUCUGCUGCCUGCAGAGGGCUUCCCAGGACCUCGGGGCUCCAUGAGGAUAUGCAUGACUAUCCCCACUUCACAGAUGAGGAAGCAGAUGCUUGACAACAGUCAGUUGCUGCUCGGGAUCAAGAUGAGGAGACGGGGGCUCAGGGUGGCACUCCAAUUUUUCACACUGAGGCCAGGGCCCCCGCCCUCUUCUCUCUCCAUCUCCCGAGAGGGUGAGACAUCCUUGGGAGGCACUCGGCCACUCCUGGGAUGGCACCGCCCUCUAGAAGGACCUGGAAGACACGGGCUCCAGCUCUGGGCCGUGCCAGCUGCAGGCCACAGCAGCCCUGUGGUGAGUCCCUCGGUGUGAACCAGAUGUUCCAUGGUCUGGCCAGAGCCCGCCUGCCCAGUUUCCGGGGCCCCACAUCCUGCUGGCUCUGUGGGAACGUGGGGGACUGUCCACAUGUGACUCAGGCUUGGGACUAAAGAUAAGAAGCCCCCCACAAAGACAGAAAACAGACACAACUCAAAAAGACAGGAAAAAAAGCUUUUCCACAAUCAUUUUGGGAAAUCUCCAAAUAUUUUUUUAAACUAGGUCUUUGUGCUUUGAACUAACAUGGCUUUUGGUAUAUAAAUGAAAUCAGAAAAUGAGCAGUGACUAUAUUUCAAGAAUUUCUCCCCAAAGCCCCUUUUCACAAACCCCACCAAAUUUUUAGUUGUAGCUUUGAAUUUCCCAGAAGGCCCACCUCUCUAUUUCGGUCUUCCCUGUCCUCUCCCUCUCACCUCAAAAGCAGUCACUUGUGGAGUUUUCCUCACCAGAGCACAGAGGAAAAGUGGGAACGGUCAAGACAGCAGGCGUGGUGUGCAGGAGGUGCCGGGGCCGGACUCCUGAUGGUGGGCUCAUUCCCUACAGGCAGGCCCGGCUAACCCACUAGACAAAAUGGUUUUAACUUUCUGCGUCUUGGAUGGUUUUGCCGUAAAAUAAAACCAGUGUCUGAAAUAUGUCUGUAAAUACGUGAAAUUUUUGAUAGACAGUUUUCAUAGAAAGGUCACGGGCACUGCAGUUCAAGGAGGAAAGUGAAGCCAUGGUCCCAGGAGCCAACUAGCUAAGCAGCCCCCCGCACCUCACGGGACAAGCUAGGGUACCUCAGUGUUCUUGGAGGCCUCCCAGUUCCGACGUCCUGUGAUAAGUAAGGAUCUCUGAAUCCAGAGAGAAAUGAAAUCAUCUCACGGAAUAGAAGUAUUAAAACAAUUAAAUUUCAUCUACCUCAGCUUGUUUCUAAAAGUAACCCUUUUGUCAAAUGACUUCACUACAGGGAAGCAUGCCCUUCUCAGGGGGAUCUGGUGGGGAGCAAGAACAGUUAUAUUCAUGAAGAGCACAGUGCCCGGCACAGAGCAGGUGCCUAACAAUUAGUUGAAUGAAUGCAUGAACCUCUGAAAGGCUGGAGCUUUCAGUGAUGUGGAAGAGUCAGUACUGACACAAAUCCCCACCACAGAAUUUUAAGGGCCAGAACUGCAAGCCAUCUACCCCUAGUGAUUGCAAUUUCCUUCUCUGACAGGAUUCUAGUGGAGGAAACUCUCUUGUGGAGUCGAAUACUGACUCCUUGGUAUACUUAAUCCCAGGAAGAGGUCAUUUAUCUCAUCUGGGGUGAACAAUCACCUAAGCCUGUUUGAUAUUUCUGGCCUCUUGUAAAUUUAGAAACUGUUCUGCCCAUGAAAUGGCAUUUUACAUAAGUCUGCUUUUCUGUGAACCCUCCCUGGUGAACAAAUUGGAAUUAUUAAAAUGAAACUAGAACA